CCUACGGGGAGGCAGCAGUGGGGGAAUAUUGCACAAUGGGCGCAAGCCUGAUGCAGCCAUGCCGCGUGUGUGAAGAAGGCCUUCGGGUUGUAAAGCACUUUCAGUCGUGAGGAAGGUGGUAGUGUUAAUAGCACUAUCAUUUGACGUUAGCGACAGAAGAAGCACCGGCUAACUCCGUGCCAGCAGCCGCGGUAAUACGGAGGGUGCGAGCGUUAAUCGGAAUUACUGGGCGUAAAGCGCAUGCAGGUGGUUUGUUAAGUCAGAUGUGAAAGCCCGGGGCUCAACCUCGGAAUAGCAUUUGAAACUGGCAGACUAGAGUACUGUAGAGGGGGGUAGGAAUUUCAGGUGUAGCGGUGAAAUGCGUAGAGAUCUGAAGGAAUACCGGUGGCGAAGGCGGCCCCCUGGACAGAUACUGACACUCAGAUGCGAAAGCGUGGGGAGCAAACAGGAUUAGAUACCCUGGUAG
rnacentral:rRNA from 1 species